AACGAACGCUGGCGGCAGGCUUAACACAUGCAAGUCGAGCGCCCCGCAAGGGGAGCGGCAGACGGGUGAGUAACGCGUGGGAACGUACCUUUUGGUUCGGAACAACUCCGGGAAACUGGAGCUAAUACCGGAUAAGCCCUAACGGGGAAAGAUUUAUCGCCGAAAGAUCGGCCCGCGUCUGAUUAGCUAGUUGGUGAGGUAACGGCUCACCAAGGCGACGAUCAGUAGCUGGUCUGUGAGGAUGAUCAGCCACACUGGGACUGAGACACGGCCCAGACUCCUACGGGAGGCAGCAGUGGGGAAUAUUGGACAAUGGGCGCAAGCCUGAUCCAGCCAUGCCGCGUGAGUGAUGAAGGCCUUAGGGUUGUAAAGCUCUUUUGUCCGGGAAGAUAAUGACUGUACCGGAAGAAUAAGCCCCGGCUAACUUCGUG
rnacentral:rRNA from 1 species